rnacentral:lncRNA from 1 species
GCCUUUGUUAGUCUUGUAUCAUUUUAACGUUUAGUUUCUUGUGUACAAUUUGGAGUUUAGUAUGGUGUUCAUUAUCACUGAACCACUAUAUAUUUGUUUAGGGGCCAGCUGAAGGACGCCUCCGGGUGCGAGAAUUUCUCGUUGCAUUGAAGACCUGUUGGUGACCUUCUGCUGUUGUCUGCUCUAUGGUCGGGUUGUUGUCUCGUUGGCACAUUCCCCAUUUCCAUUCUCAAUUUUAU